UACGGAGGGGGCUAGCGUUGUUCGGAAUUACUGGGCGUAAAGCGCACGUAGGCGGCUUUGUAAGUUAGGGGUGAAAGCCCGGAGCUCAACUCCGGAAUUGCCUUUAAGACUGCAUCGCUAGAACACGGGAGAGGUAAGCGGAAUUCCGAGUGUAGAGGUGAAAUUCGUAGAUAUUCGGAAGAACACCAGUGGCGAAGGCGGCUUACUGGACCGUUGUUGACGCUGAGGUGCGAAAGCGUGGGGAGCAAACAGG
rnacentral:rRNA from 1 species